rnacentral:rRNA from 1 species
AUUCCGGUUGAUCCUGCCGGAGGCCAUUGCUAUCGGAGUCCGAUUUAGCCAUGCUAGUCGCACGAGUUCAUACUCGUGGCAUAUAGCUCAGUAACACGUGGCCAAACUACCCUACAGACCGCAAU